rnacentral:tRNA from 1 species
GGCGACAUAGCCAAGUGGUAAGGCAGAAGUCUGCAAAACUUUUAUUCCCCAGUUCAAAUCUGGGUGUCGCCUCCA